CUCUCCCAGCCCUCCCAAGCCACUAUCCCAGACAAUGAAGCCAUGGAAGGGACCUCUGCUGCAAAUUUUUCAAGUCUCCCUCCUCCAUCCCGAAGGCUAUCUCAGAUAAGGCGGCGGAAAAAAAAAGACGCGAGAAGAAAUGUUUUCGGAAAUUAUGGAAGUGACCCGCAAUGAAAGAGCUCAUCUGAAUGACUGGAAGGACGUGGUAGCAAAGUACAGGAAUGAUGCCAGUGACCGUGAGGACAGGAGAGAUGCUCGAGAUGAAAGGAGAGAUGCUCGAGAUGAGAGGUGGCGGCAGGAAGAUCAGCGGUGGCGGGAUGCAACUCUGGGGCUGCUGCGUGAUCAAACUGACAUGCUCCAUAUGGUGGAGCUUCAGGAACAGCAGCAGGAUCACAGAGUGCCACUGCAGCCCCAGUAUAACCACCCUCCCCCCUCCCCAUGUUCCUUAGCCUUCUCACCCGCCAGACGAGUAAGAACUCAUGGGGGUAGGCUCCGUGCACCUGCCCAUUUAACCCCAGUGGACAGCCCAACCAAAAGGCUCUCAUCAUUAUGGAAUUUUUUUAGUGGCCUUUUCCUUCCCUACUA